rnacentral:rRNA from 1 species
CCCUUAGAUGUUCUGGGCCGCACGCGUGCUACACUGAGUGGAUCAGCGGGUCAGGUUGCGCGAAAGCGUUUCCUAAUCUUUAAAUCCGCUCGUGAUGGGGAUUGACGGUUGCAAUUUUCUGUCAUGAACGAGGAAUACCUUGUAAGCGCGGGUCAUCAUCCCGCGCUGAAUACGUCCCUGCCCCUUGUACACACCGCCCGUCGCUCCUACCGAUUGAAUGUGUUGGUGAGGAGCUCGGAUUGGCAGCAGUUGGUGGUUCGCCACCGGCUAUUGCUGAGAAGUCCUCCAAACCGCCCCAUUUAGAGGAAGGAGAAGUCGUAACA